rnacentral:rRNA from 1 species
CGCGAAGAACCUUACCAGGUCUUGACAUCCUCUGACAACCCUAGAGAUAGGGCUUCCCCUUCGGGGGCAGAGUGACAGGUGGUGCAUGGUUGUCGUCAGCUCGUGUCGUGAGAUGUUGGGUUAAGUCCCGCAACGAGCGCAACCCUUGAUCUUAGUUGCCAUCAUUAAGUUGGGCACUCUAAGGUGACUGCCGGUGACAAACCGGAGGAAGGUGGGGAUGACGUCAAAUCAUCAUGCCCCUUAUGACCUGGGCUACACACGUGCUACAAUGGACGGUACAAAGAGCUGCAAGACCGCGAGGUGGAGCUAAUCUCAUAAAACCGUUCUCAGUUCGGAUUGUAGGCUGCAACUCGCCUACAUGAAGCUGGAAUCGCUAGUAAUCGCGGAUCAGCAUGCCGCGGUGAAUACGUUCCCGGGCCUUGUACACACCGCCCGUCACACCACGAGAGUUUGUAACACCCGGAAGUCGGUGGGGUACCUUUUUGGACCACCGCCUCGGGAGGUCUCCCUGUAAG